rnacentral:rRNA from 1 species
UACGAAGGGAGCUAGCGUUGUUCGGAAUCACUGGGCGUAAAGCGCACGUAGGCGGCUUCUUAAGUCAGGGGUGAAAUCCUGGAGCUCAACUCCAGAACUGCCUUUGAUACUGAGGAGCUUGAGUCCGGGAGAGGUGAGUGGAACUGCGAGUGUAGAGGUGAAAUUCGUAGAUAUUCGCAAGAACACCAGUGGCGAAGGCGGCUCACUGGCCCGGUACUGACGCUGAGGUGCGAAAGCGUGGGGAGCAAACAGG